rnacentral:rRNA from 1 species
AUUGAACGCUGGCGGCAGGCCUAACACAUGCAAGUCGAGCGGAUGAAGGGAGCUUGCUCCUGGAUUCAGCGGCGGACGGGUGAGUAAUGCCUAGGAAUCUGCCUGGUAGUGGGGGAUAACGUCCGGAAACGGGCGCUAAUACCGCAUACGUCCUGAGGGAGAAAGUGGGGGAUCUUCGGACCUCACGCUAUCAUAUGAGCCUAGGUCGGAUUAGCUAGUUGGUGGGGUAAAGGCCUACCAAGGCGACGAUCCGUAACUGGUCUGAGAGGAUGAUCAGUCACACUGGAACUGAGACACGGUCCAGAAUCCUACGGGAGGCAGCAGUGGGGAAUAUUGGACAAUGGGCGAAAGCCUGAUCCAGCCAUGCCGCGUGUGUGAAGAAGGUCUUCGGAUUGUAAAGCACUUUAAGUUGGGAGGAAGGGCAGUAAGUUAAUACCUUGCUGUUUUGACGUUACCAACAGAAUAAGCACCGGCUAACUUCGUG